AAUCAUAUAAUCAGGCACUGCCAUAUUUUGCUGUGAUGCUGUCACGGCUCUAGCACUUGAUUUUAUUCUUAUUUUCUUGUAGAAGUAGGCUUUGAGAACAAACACAAUCAUUCCUGCUCCAAAAACACGGACGACUGCUGAUGGAAGAGUGAGACGCUUGAGAGCAGACGGAUGCAGUGAGCAGCAGGUGGCAGCAGACGCUGGUCAAACUGCUGUGGAGAGCAUGAAGGACAGCAUCAGCUGCAGCACAAUAUAAAGAGAUCUCAUCCACUCAACCGGGGUAAAUAAGAGCCCUACAGCCCCCUUAAUCACGAGAUGUACAGUUCCUCAGAUGGCCAGACCUGAACUUUAACUGAACUUCUGAGAAAUCCAGCAGCUCGUGGCAUUCUGGGAAAUUAAGUGUUCAUCAGCAUGUCAAUAUAAACCCUCUGUCUGUCUGUAAGCCCAAGAAAGGACCACAAACUUUCGUUAAAUGUUCAAACAAGGCUAUCAUUUUUGACAUGCUUCUUUUUACAAAAAAAAAAUCGCUUAUUAAUGUUACUUAUAAGAUAUCAAUUAUUCUACUUGGUUUGAAUUUCAGUUUUAGUUCCUCAGUUCAGGACUUCAGGACUAGUCAUUAA